GACGAACGCUGGCGGCGCGCUUAACACAUGCAAGUCGAGCGAAGCGGCGGACGGGUGAGUAACACGUGAGUAACCUGCCUUAGACAUUGGGAUAGCCUCGGGAAACCGGGAUUAAUACCAAAUGGUCUAAGAUGGACUCGCGUCCCAUUAGCUAGUUGGUGAGGUAACGGCCCACCAAGGCGACGAUGGGUAGCCGGCCUGAGAGGGUGAACGGCCACAUUUGAAGUGAGAAACGGUCCAGACGCGACGGGAGGCAGCAGUGGGGAAUAUUGCACAAUGGAGGGAACUCUGAGGCAGCGACGCCGCGUGAACAAAGAAGGCUUUCGAGUCGUAAAGUUCUUUUAUAUGGGAAGCGGUACCAGAAGAAAAAGCCCCGGCUAACUACGUGCCAGCAGCGGCGGUAAUUC
rnacentral:rRNA from 1 species